rnacentral:rRNA from 1 species
GACGAACGCUGGCGGCGUGCUUAACACAUGCAAGUCGAACGGAAAGGCCCUGCUUUUGUGGGGUGCUCGAGUGGCGAACGUGUGAGUAACACGUGAGUAACCUGCCCUUUACUUUGGGAUAACUUCAGUAAACUGGGGCUAAUACCGGUUAUGCGCUCCUGCUGCAUGGUGUGGUUUGGAAAGUUUCGGCGGUUGGGGAUGGACUCGCGGCUUAUCAGCUUGUUGGUGGGGUAGUGGCUUACCAAGGCUUUGACGGGUAGCCGGCCUGAGAGGGUGACCGGACACAUUGGGACUGAGAUACGGCCCAGAAUCCUACGGGAGGAAGCAGUGGGGAAUAUUGCACAAUGGGCGGAAGCCUGAUGCAGCAACGCCGCGUGCGGGAUGACGGACUUCGGGUUGUAAACCGCUUUCGCCUGUGACGAAGCGUGAGUGACGGUAAUGGGUAAAGAAGCACCGGCUAACUACGUG